rnacentral:misc_RNA from 1 species
GUGAAUCAUCGAAUCUUUGAACGCACAUUGCGCCCGCUAGCAAUCUAGCAGGCAUGCCUGUUCGAGCGUCAUUUCAACCCUCAAGCGCUGCUCGCUUGGUGUUGGGGCUUCUUCUGCCGGGGCGUCAAACCCCCCAGCAGGCCCUGAAAUGCAGUGGCAGGCUCGCUAAGUUUCCGAGCGUAGUAGUUUAUCUCUCCCUCGCUAAGGAACAUUUGGCGGGUUCUAGCCGUUAAAACCCUCUAAUUCUUUCAGAAGGUUGACCUCGGAUCAGGUAGGAUUACCCGCUGAACUUAAGCAUAUCAAUAAGCGGAGGA